rnacentral:rRNA from 1 species
CGGCCCGAUCGACAGGCCGGUGCGAAUGCUCGGCUCGGGCGUCGCAAACAGCAGGCCGGACGGCGCGCGCUGCGACAUCAGCAGCGCCCACAGCGGCCGCGCGUCGUCCGAGCGGCCGGCCGCCUGCAACGCGAGCGCCGCCUGCGCGGUGCCUUCGGUCCAGACACCGUCCGGAUGCGCGUUGAAGCCGUAGCCGCCGUCGAUGCGAUGCGCGCGCUCGACCCACGCGAGCGAGCGGCGCCAGUCGGCGGGCGCAUCCGGCAUCGCGAGCAGCGGCCAGAGCGACGCGUCGAGCGCGGACGGCCCGGUGUUCGGCGUGUGCCCGUCGUCGCGCGUGCCGAUCAGGAAGCGGCCGUCGCCCGGCUCCCACAUCGCCGACACGAAGCGCCGCGCGCGCCCGGCGACCGCGUGCCAGCGGGCGUCGCCCGUGCGCGCCGCGAGCCAGCGGAAGACGGCGUACGCAUCGACGUUGUGCUCGGUGGAUUUCCAGCCCUGGCGGAGCGGCUGCGGCUCAUGGCCGAACUCGCCGCCGACGUAGCCGGCCGGCGCCGUCGCGUCGAGCCGGCCGGGGUCGACCCAGCCCAUCAGCGCGGCGGCGCCGUCGAGAUAGCGCCGCUCGCGCGUCGCUUCGUACACGGCGAGCAGCGACAGCGCGGCCCACGCGACGUUGCCGGUCGCGGUGCCCGCCUGAUAGGCGUCCUCGAACCAGCGCUUGCUCGGCGUGUCCCACCAGCCGGGCAGCGGUGCGGGCCCCGGCGGCAGCGCACCCGCGCGGUACGCGUUGCGCACGCGCGCGUCGCGGUAGUGGCGAUCCUGCCGGCUCGCCUGCAGGAUCGCGUCGGCGAUGCGGCGCGCGUCGCCGGGGCGGUGGCAGGCAAUGAGCGCGAUGCUCGCGAGCGCGUUGUCAUAGACGAACGCGGCCUGCGUCAGCGCGCCCGCGAGCGCCGCGCCGCCGGGCGCGGGCUCGUAGCUGCCGAGAAAGACGGGCCCCGAGCCGGGAAGCGCGUGCACGCGCUCGGCGAGCGUCUUGCAUCCGGCCGCGAGCAGCGCCGCGCGCGGCGGCUCGGCGCCGGCGGCGCCGUGGGCGACGAACAGCAGCGAGGCCAUCGGCCCGAUCGCGAACGAUGCCGCACGGCCCAGGCGGCGGACGAGGUGAAAUCUCAUCGGCAUGGGGCUGCGCGCGCUCAGGCCGCCGAUUUCAGAUCGUCGAGCCAGCGUCGGGCCGCGCUCGCCCGCUCGUUCAGCCAGCGCCGCCCGUCCGCGGCCAGCUCGCCGAGCCGGCGGGCGGCGUUCGUCGCGAAGUCCUCGAGCCGGCGCCGGGCUUGCACGCCGGCGUCGCGCAGCCAUUGCCCGCCGCGCGCGAGCGCCGAACGCGCGCCGGCGGUCCAGUUCGGAUCGACGUUCGCGAGACCGGACACGUUGCUCGCGAGCCAGCCCCGAUCGAGGCUGACUCUCGCCCAGCGCCCCAUCGCGCAGCGCGCGUCCGGCCGGGCGCUCGCGCGGCGCGACAGCGGCGCGAGCGGCUCGUCGAGCUUCGCGAUCACAUAGAUCUCGUUCUUCUCGAUCGGCGGGAAGGGCACGAAGUAGCGCGCCUGCUCGCCUUCGGACGCGCGCGGCAGCACUUCGGCGAUCGACGCGGGCAGCACGGCCGGCACACCGUCCAUCCGCACGUUCAGAUGCGUGCCGGGCAGCAGGUCGUCGCUCAGGCUGCGCGGGAACACGGCGACGACACGCGAGCGCGCGCAGUUGCUCGCACGGAUCAGCGUCGCGCCGGCGGCGACGCGCGUGCCGGGCGGGGCGAGCACGUCCUCCACGACGCCCGGCUCGCCCGAGCGGAUCUCGAUGCGGCUCAGCCUGUCGAGCCGCUGCUGCUCGGCGGCGAUCAGCUUGUCGACCGACUGGCCGUAAGCGUCGAACUGCGCGAUCUCGGCCUUGCGCUGCGCGAUGUCCGUGCCGAGCAGCCGGCCGCGCUGCGACAGCGACGCGGCCGGCCCGUCGGUGGCGGACGCGUAGACCUUGCUGCGCGACGCGUCGCCGUUCGCGACCGCGUGCUCGAGCUCGGCGGCCGCGGCCGCUUUCGCGUUCGACAGGAUCGAUAGCUGAUAGCGCGACGCGCUGGUGUACGCCUCGCUCACGGCGCCUGCCCACUGCAUCGCCUGAUUGCGGUUGACGAUGUCUUCCUGCUGGUCCACCUGCGCGCGCGCGACCGCGAGCCGCGCCUCGAGCGCGCGGAUGGUCGCCGCGUGCUCCUUCUGUGCCACGGACUGAUAGCGCUGCAGAUCGUGCUCGGUCGACGCGAGCUGGCUCUCGUCGCCCGCGAGCUCGGCGCGCGCCGCGUCCUCGCGCUGCUGGUUGUCGAGCUUCUUGCCCGUCAGGUCGAUCAGCAGCGCGCGAUCGACGUUCGGGUUCUGCACGGUCGCGAGCGGCUGGUUCGCGUCGAACGGCUUGCCGGCCGUCACGUGCUGCUCGGUCACGACGCCUUCGACCGGCGACGUGACGAGCGUCACUUCGUUGUUGACGACCGCGCGCUCGGACGAGCGCGUGAAGACGUUCGGAAACAUGAUGGUCAGCACCAUCCAGAUGACGAAGAACACGACGCCGUAGCCGGCGGCGCGCGGCACGAGCGUCCAGAGCGGACGCGGCGCGCGGCACCGGUUCGUCGUGCGUGACGAGCGACGAAGCGUGCGCGUCGGUCGGGGGAUUCUCCCGUGACGGGUCGGACAUGUUGCCCUCCUGCAUCGCAAAAGCGCGAACGAUGAGACAAAAGACAGGCGCGCACGCGCGGCCCGGUGCCGCGCGCGUCGACGUCGACGGGAUCGACGGCGACAGGCGGGCCUCCUUGCGAACGUGCGUUGGCGCGCAAAACGG